rnacentral:rRNA from 1 species
UACGUAGGGUGCAAGCGUUGUUCGGAUUUACUGGGCGUAAAGGGCGCGUAGGCGGCCACCGCAAGUCAGUUGUGAAAGCUCUGGGCUUAACCCAGAAAGGUCAGCUGAUACUGCGGGGCUAGAGUGCAGAAGGGGCAACUGGAAUUCUCGGUGUAGCGGUGAAAUGCGUAGAUAUCGAGAGGAACACCUGCGGCGAAGGCGGGUUGCUGGGCUGACACUGACGCUGACAGCGCGAAAGCUAGGGGAGCGAACGGG